UACGUAGGGUGCAAGCGUUAAUCGGAAUUACUGGGCGUAAAGCGUGCGCAGGCGGCUUUGCAAGACAGAUGUGAAAUCCCCGGGCUUAACCUGGGAACUGCAUUUGUGACUGCACGGCUAGAGUGUGUCAGAGGGGGGUAGAAUUCCACGUGUAGCAGUGAAAUGCGUAGAGAUGUGGAGGAACACCGAUGGCGAAGGCAGCCCCCUGGGCUAAGAUUGACGCUCAUGCACGAAAGCGUGGGGAGCAAACAGG
rnacentral:rRNA from 1 species